rnacentral:tRNA from 1 species
GGGGAUUUAGCUCAGUGGCAGAGCGCUUGCCUAGGAAGCGCAAGGCCCUGGGUUCGGUUCCCAGCUCCG